rnacentral:rRNA from 1 species
ACGGAAGGCAGCAGUGGGGAAUAUUGCACAAUGGGCGCAAGCCUGAUGCAGCGAUGCCGCGUGAGGGAAGAAGGUUUUCGGAUUGUAAACCUCUGUCAACAGGGACGAAAAUGACGGUACCUGUGAAGGAAGCUCCGGCUAACUACGUGCCAGCAGCCGCGGCAAUACGGGGGGUGUAAGCGUUGUUCGGAAUUACUGGGCGUAAAGGGCGUGCAGGCGGUCACCGCAAGUUAAAUGUGAAAUCCCUGAGCUUAACUCAGGACGUGCGUUUAAGACUGCGGGACUCGAAUACGGGAGAGGGUCGUGGAAUUCCUGGUGUAGAGGUGAAAUUCGUAGAUAUCAGGAGGAACACUCGUGGCGAAGGCGACGACCUGGACCGAUAUUGACGCUGAGACGCGAAAGCGUGGGUAGCAAACAGGAUUAGAUACCCUGGUA